rnacentral:lncRNA from 1 species
AGGGAAAGUUACAAAGCAAUAUGGAGUCAAGCCUAUGGUUUAAAUGGACAGCCAGAAAGCUAAAUCUUGGAAGGGACAAGAUUUAACAUUUGUUGGGGAAGACAUUUAGAGACUGUGUAGACAAAGAUGAACAAAAUACAAAUUUACCCUCUCCAAUACAAAGCACCAUAACUAAACAAUAUCUUUGCUGAAAAAAAAAAAUGAAUGGAAGACAUGAAAAGAAAAUUUGCAGGGUCCCCAACGGAGGAGUUAGCGAAAGGACUGAAGGAGCUGAAGAGAAUUGCAACAGGACAGGAAAAACAAUAUGAACCAACCAGACCCCCCCAGAGCUCCCCGGGACUAAGCCAUCAACAAAGCAGUUUCUAUCCUACUGGAUAAUGUAUGUAGGACAUACAUGUCAUAUAAGAAUAACUUCCUUUAAACUUCAAGGAGAGAAUUUGUUCUGGUAAAGAAAUCGUACUUGUAGCAUUGUAGCAAAGAUCUACAUAUACGCCUACAUGACUGAAAAUUCUUCCUUACAUUCCCAGGAUUUCUAGUUAUCCCCUAGGGGAGACAUAUAUAAGGUGACAGGGAAGUUAUAAUGACACUUCUGAAACAAUUUGUGAUAGUGGUAACUUUCAGAGGACCGCUAAGACAGUAAAUGAAUGAAGGUAUGAUUUUUGUGACUCCAGAAUGAAAUUUCUCAAGGUUCUGGAAAGCUACAAAGAUGUCUGGAACCUCCAGCAACUGCAUGAUUUAUAAUUACUCCUGGUACAAAGUUGUAUCCAUUGAUAUCAUGGAAAUAUUUAUAUAGAACCAAAAC